rnacentral:rRNA from 1 species
UGUAGUCAUAUGCUUGUCUCAAAGAUUAAGCCAUGCAUGUCUAAGUAUAAGCAAUUAUACAGCGAAACUGCGAAUGGCUCAUUAUAUAAGUUAUCGUUUAUUUGAUAGUACCUUACUACUUGGAUAACCGUGGUAAUUCUAGAGCUAAUACAUGCUAAAAAUCCCGACUUCGGAAGGGAUGUGUUUAUUAGAUUAAAAACCAAUGCCCUCCGGGGCUCCUUGGUGAUUCAUGAUAACUAUUCGAAUCGCAUGGCCUUGCGCCGGCGAUGGUUCAUUCAAAUUUCUUCCCUAUCAACUUUCGAUGUUUGGGUAUUGGCCAAACAUGGUUGCAACGGGUAACGGAGGGUUAGGGCUCGACCCCGGAGAAGGAGCCUGAGAAACGGCUACUACAUCCAAGGAAGGCAGCAGGCGCGCAAAUUACCCAAUCCCGACACGGGGAGGUAGUGACAAUAAAUACUGAUACAGGGCUCUUUUGGGUCUUGUAAUUGGAAUGAGUACAAUUUAAAUCUCUUAACGAGGAACAAUUGGAGGGCAAGUCUGGUAAUCG